rnacentral:rRNA from 1 species
UACAGAGGUCCCAAGCGUUGUUCGGAUUCACUGGGCGUAAAGGGUGCGUAGGCGGUCGGGUAAGUCUGGCGUGAAAUCUCCAAGCCUAACUUGGAAACUGCGUUGGAUACUAUCCGGCUCGAGGAAUGGAGGGGAGACUGGAAUACUUGGUGUAGCAGUGAAAUGCGUAGAUAUCAGGAGGAACACCGGUGGCGAAGGCGGCCAUCUGGACGACAACUGACGCUGAGGCGCGAAAGCGUGGGGAUCAAACAGG